rnacentral:rRNA from 1 species
CCCUUCGGGGACGCAGAGACAGGUGGUGCAUGGCUGUCGUCAGCUCGUGUCGUGAGAUGUUGGGUUAAGUCCCGCAACGAGCGCAACCCUUGUCUUUAGUUGCCAUCAUUAAGUUGGGCACUCUAAAGAGACUGCCGGUGACAAACCGGAGGAAGGUGGGGAUGACGUCAAGUCAUCAUGCCCCUUAUGACCUGGGCUACACACGUGCUACAAUGGGCAGUACAACGAGAAGCGAACCCGCGAGGGUAAGCGGAUCUCUUAAAGCUGUUCUCAGUUCGGACUGCAGGCUGCAACUCGCCUGCACGAAGCUGGAAUCGCUAGUAAUCGCGGAUCAGCACGCCGCGGUGAAUACGUUCCCGGGCCUUGUACACACCGCCCGUCACACCAUGGAAGUCUGCAAUGCCCAAAGUCGGUGGGAUAACCUUUAUAGGAGUCAGCCGCCUAAGGCAGGGCAGAUGACUGGGGUGAAGUCGUAACAAGGUAGCCGUAGGAGAACCUGCGGCUGGAUCACCUCCUUUCUAAGGAA